UUUUCCUUUAAGACACUGCCACUGGGCUGGGGAGAUGGCUCAGUGGAAUAAGCACUUCCUUGGCAAGCGCAAGGGCCUGAGUUCAAUUCCCAGUUC
rnacentral:miRNA from 1 species